UACGUAGGGAGCGAGCGUUAUCCGGAUUUAUUGGGUGUAAAGGGUGCGUAGACGGGAAUACAAGUUGUUUGUGAAAUCCCUCGGCUUAACUGAGGAACUGCAAGCAAAACUAUAUUUCUUGAGUGCUGGAGAGGAAAGUGGAAUUCCUAGUGUAGCGGUGAAAUGCGUAGAUAUUAGGAGGAACACCAGUGGCGAAGGCGACUUUCUGGACAGUAACUGACGUUGAGGCACGAAAGUGUGGGGAGCAAACAGG
rnacentral:rRNA from 1 species